rnacentral:tRNA from 1 species
UCCCUAGUGGCUCAGAUGGUAAAGAAUCUGCUUGCAAUGCAGGAGAUCCGGGUUCAAUCCCUGGGUUGGGAA